rnacentral:lncRNA from 1 species
UUUUAAAUUUUAUUUUAUUUUUGUCUUUUAUUUUCUGGGUUUUGUGUUCUCUUAUCGUUUUGGAUAUUGAUGUCUAAGAUAAAGACCAUAGGUCCCUUACUCAAAUUCUUUUGCACAUUUGAAUUUUUGAGAUAUAUGGUGACUAUCCAAGAGAGAAACUAGAUCCUCUACACUAUCAAUCUGAUAAAGAAGAGAGGAGGCUCUCUUGUAGAAGAGAGUCUGCCUGAUAUAAACAAUACCAGCAACAACACCAACAAUAGAGAAGAACGUCAUUUUUGGAUUUCUAUAUUUGGAUUUUUAUAUUCAGGUUUUUUUUUUUUUGAAUUCCUUUUGGUGUUAAUAUACUAGAUUGCUAAAUAGAGUAUAGGGAUUUAUGUUUUUUUUUUUUUUUUUUUUUUUUGCCUUUUCAAUCUUUUAGGUAUUUUUUCUCCAUUGGUGGGUGUUUAGGUUUUUAUAUGGCACUCUCUCUAUGUACAACAAGGGAAAAAAAUAAUUAUGUAAUUUGUCUCUUAUAUACUUUUAUUUCUGUGGUGUUGCUAUUCGAGGAAGA